rnacentral:rRNA from 1 species
AAGAGAAAAUAAAUAAUGAUUCCCCUAGUAGUGGCGAGCGAACGGGGAAUAGCCCAAACCUGCUUUGUGGCAACGCUUAGCAGGGGUUGUAGGACCACGCUGUCGUACUUAGAUUGUGAGAAGAAUGUUCUGGAAAGAACAAUCAUAGAGGGUGAUAAUCCCGUAUUCGAAGCAUGACGAGACGUAGUGGUAUCCUGAGUAACGCGGAACACGUGAAAUUCUGCGCGAAUCCGCCGGGACCAUCCGGUAAGGCUAAAUACUCCCGUGAGACCGAUAGUGAACGAGUACUGUGAAGGAAAGGUGAAAAGCACUCCGAUGAGGAGAGUGAAAUAGUUCCUGAAACCAUGCGCCUACAAGCGGUCGGAGCCGCGUAAGCGGUGACGGCGUGCCUUUUGCAUAAUGAACCUACGAGUUACCAUGUCUGGCAAGGAUAAGCGUCAUGAGACGCGCAUCCGCAGUGAAAGCGAGCCUGAAAAGGGCGUCGAGUCAGAUGGGGUAGACGCGAAACCAAGUGAU